rnacentral:rRNA from 1 species
CAGUCGCCGCGGUAAUACAGAGGGUGCAAGCGUUAAUCGGAAUUACUGGGCGUAAAGCGCGCGUAGGUGGUUUGUUAAGUUGGAUGUGAAAUCCCCGGGCUCAACCUGGGAACUGCAUCCAAAACUGGCAGGCUAGAGUACGGUAGAGGGUAGUGGAAUUUCCUGUGUAGCGGUGAAAUGCGUAGAUAUAGGAAGGAACACCAGUGGCGAAGGCGACUACCUGGACUGAUACUGGCACUGAGGUGCGAAAGCGUGGGGAGCAGACAGGAUUAGAUACCCCCGUAGUCCCUGUCUCUUAUAC